rnacentral:rRNA from 1 species
UACGAAGGGGGCUAGCGUUGCUCGGAAUCACUGGGCGUAAAGCGCACGUAGGCGGCUUUUUAAGUCAGGGGUGAAAUCCUGGAGCUCAACUCCAGAACUGCCUUCGAUACUGGGAGUCUCGAGUCCGGGAGAGGUGAGUGGAACUGCGAGUGUAGAGGUGAAAUUCGUAGAUAUUCGCAAGAACACCAGUGGCGAAGGCGGCUCACUGGCCCGGUACUGACGCUGAGGUGCGAAAGCGUGGGGAGCAAACAGG